UCCAGACUCCUACGGGAGGCAGCAGUGGGGGAUAUUGCACAAUGGGGGAAACCCUGAUGCAGCGACGCCGCGUGGGCGAAGAAGUAGUUCGGUAUGUAAAGCCCUCUCAGCAGGGAAGAAGAAAUGACGGUACCUGAGUAAGAAGCACCGGCUAAAUACGUGCCAGCAGCCGCGGUAAUACGUAUGGUGCAAGCGUUAUCCGGAUUUACUGGGCGUAUAGGGAGCGCAGGCGGCGCGCCAAGUCUGACGUGAAACCCCGGGGCUCAACCCCGGGCAUGCAUUGGAAACUGGCGGGCUGGAGUGCCGGAGAGGUAAGCGGAAUUCCCAGUGUAGCGGUGAAAUGCGUAGAUAUUAGGAGGAACACCAGUGGCGAAGGCGGCUUACUGGACGGCAACUGACGCUGAGGCUCGAAAGCGUGGGGAGCAAACAGGAUUAGAUACCCCUGUAU
rnacentral:rRNA from 1 species